UCCCAGACAGUCCAGUGGUUAGGACUGAGCACUUUCACUGCUGUGUCCCAGGUUCAGUUCCUGAUCCUGGAA
rfam:Ovis aries breed Texel chromosome 10, whole genome shotgun sequence.